UACAGAGGGUGCGAGCGUUGUCCGGAAUCACUGGGCGUAAAGGGCGCGUAGGUGGUCUGGUAAGCGUGCGGUGAAAUCGCGGGGCUCAACCCCGCGCCGGCCGUGCGAACUGCUGGACUGGAGCACUGUAGAGGCGGGUGGAAUUCCGGGUGUAGCGGUGAAAUGCGCAGAUAUCAGGAGGAACACCAAUUGCGAAGGCAGCUCGCUGGGACGUUACUGACGCUGAGACGCGAAAGCGUGGGGAGCAAACAGG
rnacentral:rRNA from 1 species